GGCAAGUAGUGUGGUGCCCUGAGGCCUGAGGCCAGGCUCCAGGACCGCUCAAGGAACAGGGGAUUUGAGGCAACUCAGAGAGGACAGGCCCAGCAGCCGGCCCCAGCCUGAUAUCUUCCCUCCGCUCAGGCCCCAGACGCAGCUGCAUCCUGGAGUCCUUCUGAGAAAUGUGGGACCUGCCCCAGCUCCACCCCAGGGGCAGCGAGGGAGGCGUUGGAUGGAGCCACCCCACGGCUCCUCUGUGAAGGUCUGCACGUCACUCAGAAAGUUGAAGCAAACCAAGCAGGGUUGGAGCCCACAGUUCACAGCCGGCUGCACAGGGUAUGCACCAAGCACAGUCUCCUAUGACAAGUGGAAACCUGUGCGCCACAGCAAAACUCCGUCACCACAGCAGCAGAUGGCUCCGAAGAAGUGGAGCGUUUUCAUCAGGUUCAACUUUGAAACCUCCACCACCACCAUCACCAGCACCGCUGUGUCGUGCUGAUAACUUGAGGACAGGCAGGACCAGGUAUGUUUGUUGGAGGUGAACACGCUUCCUUGUCUUGAGAGUCUUGAGUGGCCCGUCCCCUUCCAGGCCCUCGGCUGGCAGGCAGCUGUCGGGAAGCUGUCAGGCGGGAGGGGAUUGGGGGUCAGGCUUCCUGACAAGUGGAGGCACCCGCCACGUGCCCAGAGCAGAGGUCACCCCAGUGCCUUUCUCUGUGGACUUAUCCCUGGCUGUAGGUCACAGGGGCCUGCCCCACUGCCCCCUCCCCAGUGGUGACAUGGGAGGAGGGGAGAUUAAUCCAGAGCAGCAGAUAAACCGGAGGGAAGAGCCCCCAGGAGGACAACUGUGACACAUUGUGCUGCCUCUGCGUCCCCA